ensembl:lncRNA
GGCUGACUGACGGCAGCUUAACAAGCCAAGAGGUGUGCUUCUUCCUGUGCCCUGCAAUCCUUCUGGGCAUCAGAGCUUUGGAAAAGGCGGAAAAUACCUGCAGCUUCUUGAACACGCUGUUGUUAAUUUCCUUUGUCAACUUCAUGUCUGAAAGCACUUUCAAGGAACAAGAAAGCCAGCAGUAACAGCCUGCGCUGGGGAGGGCCUGCGCUCUCAGGCGCUUCUUCCCCUGGACGACGUUUCCACUAAGUGUUUAUGGGGAGGGAACCGCAGCGCGGGAGCUGCGCUCGGUCCCAGGCGCCGUGCUGGCGCUUCGCCCGCGUUCUCAUCUCAUCUUCGCAGCUCACACCUGGUCGCCUGGACGCCUGGACCCUUGGCCUCAGGAGCCCAAUUUGUCAGAUGAAGAAAAUGAGACUCAGAGAGAUUAAACAUGCUUGCUUCACCUCAGGUCCUUUUUUUUUUUUUUUUGCAAAGAGGCUGAUAUAAAUUAAUCCAUAUGAAAUAAAAGCCACUUGCCCAGGGCGACCCUGUAGAAUCCUCGACCCCCUGGUUCUGACCUGGAGCUGGGUCACGGGGGAAGAAACACUGAUGAAAACAGGGAAUAAAUAAUUGAAGACUAAUUACAUCCUGGAGUCAAAUCUCUUGACCGGCAUCGAGGAGGACCCAAUUUAUAAUUCCCAGUUGUACCUCCAGUCACUCCUUCCUCUCCUCGCUAAUUCCAUUCCUCGGCAUUCUCUGGAACUCCACAUCCAUCACCCCUUCCCAAACUCUGCUCUCACCUGAGACUUUUUUAUUUUGUACUUGCUGAAAGAGGUCUUUCGGGCUUAGAUUUAUGUCGUGUAUCAGUCUGUGCAUACAUCAAAAGGAAAAGGUAAGUGUAAAAAAUUGCUUACGGUAUUUCUCAGGCAGUGACAACUCCAUCAUCACCACCCGGCUGACAGCAAUUGUAGGACCAGCCCCACGUCAGACUUGUUAAAUACCAUGACCCACCAUUUCGCUUAAGAAACGGAAUAAUUCCCAACACUGUUGAAGGCCUUGGGUUCCACCUUGGUGACCACAUCUCCUUUCCACCCAAGUGGCAGCCGUUCUCCUGGAUUUCCUGUUGUCCCUACAGCUCUACCAAAUACGUAUGCUCCACAAUCAUUGCUUGGUCUUGUUUUUGAACUGCCUCGUAAGUGGAAUUCUGUCGUCUGUCUUCUUCUGUGACUUGCUUUUUUGUUAUUUUAAGAUGGCUUUAGUGAGAUAUAAUUCACAUACUAUCCGAUUCACUGGUUUAAAGUGUACAUUUUAAUGUUUUUUAGUAUAUUCACAGAUGUGUGAAUCCAUCACCACAGUCAGUUUGAGAGCAUUUUCCUCACCUCAAAAAUAAACUCUGGUUAUUGCUCUCCUUUCUCUCCAUCCCCAAACCCCAGCCCUAAGCACCCACAUCUACUUUCUGUCUCUAAGACAGGAAAAAUAGGAUUUGCCUAUUCUCGCCCUUUGUGUGAGUGGCAUCGUAGCAUAUGUGGUCUUUUGUGAGUGGCUUCUCUCACCUAGCUAAUGUUUUCGAGGUCCAUCCAUGUCGCGGCAUCUAUAGGCGCUUCAUUCCUCUUUAUCACGGAAUAGCGUUUCAUGCUGUGGAUGUGCCACAUUUGUUUAUCCAGUUGUCCCUGGAUGGAGACUUCCUUUUUUGAAUUUAACGUUAUGUGAAAUGGACAUUUAGGCUGUUUCCAGUGUUUUGGUAUUACAAACUAUUUUGCUAUAAAGAUUCUGAGGAUUUCUCCUGGAACACAUGUGUGAAGAUUUCUCUGGAGUAUAAACCUAGGAGUGGAAUUACUGGCCGAUAGCACUUUCUACAAUGAGGGGAAUGUUCAAUUCUGUGUUCGGCACUGUCCAAUGUAGUGGCUAGAGCCACAGGUGGCUCUUGAGCACUUGAAAUGUGUCUAGUGUGACAGAGGAAUUGAAUUUUAAUUUUUUUUUUCUUUGAGGAAGACUGGCCCAGAGCUAACAUCCAUGCCCAAAUUCCUCUAUUUUAUAUGUGGGAUGCCUGCCACAGCAUGGCUUGAUUGGUGGUGUGUAGGUCCGUGCCUGGGAUCCAAACUGG